GCGUUGGUGGUAUAAUGGUGAGCAUAGCUGCCUUCCAAGCAGUUGACCCAGGUUCGAUUCCCGGCCAACGCA
rfam:Danio rerio chromosome 4, GRCz11 reference primary assembly.